rnacentral:rRNA from 1 species
UACGUAGGGUGCAAGCGUUGUCCGGAAUUAUUGGGCGUAAAGAGCUCGUAGGCGGUCUGUUGCGUCGGCUGUGAAAACCCGGGGCUCAACUCCGGGCCUGCAGCCGAUACGGGCAGACUAGAGUUCGGCAGGGGAGACUGGAAUUCCUGGUGUAGCGGUGAAAUGCGCAGAUAUCAGGAGGAACACCGGUGGCGAAGGCGGGUCUCUGGGCCGAUACUGACGCUGAUGCGCGAAAGCCAGGGGAGCGAACGGG